AAACCGCGAGGUCAAGCAAAUCCCAUAAAGUUGUUCUCAGUUCGGAUUGUAGUCUGCAACUCGACUACAUGAAGCUGGAAUCGCUAGUAAUCGUAGAUCAGCAUGCUACGGUGAAUACGUUCCCGGGUCUUGUACACACCGCCCGUCACACCACGAGAGUUUGUAACACCCGAAGCCGGUGGAGUAACCUUUUAGGAGCUAGCCGUCGAAGGUGGGACAAAUGAUUGGGGUGAAGUCGUAACAAGGUAGCCGUAUCGGAAGGUGCGGCUGGAUCACCUCCUUU
rnacentral:rRNA from 1 species